rnacentral:rRNA from 1 species
UACGUAGGGUGCGAGCGUUAAUCGGAAUUACUGGGCGUAAAGCGUGCGCAGGCGGUUUUGUAAGUCUGUCGUGAAAGCCCCGGGCUCAACCGUGGAAUGGCGAUGGAGACUGCAAGGCUUGAAUCUGGCAGAGGGGGGUAGAAUUCCACGUGUAGCAGUGAAAUGCGUAGAGAUGUGGAGGAACACCGAUGGCGAAGGCAGCCCCCUGGGUCAAGAUUGACGCUCAUGCACGAAAGCGUGGGGAGCAAACAGG